rnacentral:rRNA from 1 species
CCUACGGGGGGCAGCAGUGCGGAAUAUUGGUCAAUGGACGAGAGUCUGAACCAGCCAAGUAGCGUGAAGGAUGACUGCCCUAUGGGUUGUAAACUUCUUUUAUAUGGGAAUAAAACGUUCCACGUGUGGGAUUUUGUAUGUACCAUAUGAAUAAGGAUCGGCUAACUCCGUGCCAGCAGCCGCGGUAAUACGGAGGAUCCGAGCGUUAUCCGGAUUUAUUGGGUUUAAGGGGGCGUAGGUGGAUUGUUAAGUCAGUUGUGAAAGUUUGCGGCUCAACCGUAAAAUUGCAGUUGAAACUGGCAGUCUUGAGUACAGUAGAGGUGGGCGGAAUUCGUGGUGUAGCGGUGAAAUGCUUAGAUAUCACGAAGAACUCCGAUUGCGAAGGCAGUUCACUGGACUGCAACUGACACUGAGGCUCGAAAGUGUGGGUAUCAAACAGGAUUAGAUACCCCAGUAGUC